rnacentral:rRNA from 1 species
UACGAAGGUCCCGAGCGUUGUUCGGAAUCACUGGGCGUAAAGCGUGCGCAGGCGGUUGUGCAAGACCGAUGUGAAAUCCCCGGGCUUAACCUGGGAAUGGCAUUGGUGACUGCAUCGCUGGAGUGCGGCAGAGGGGGAUGGAAUUCCGCGUGUAGCAGUGAAAUGCGUAGAUAUGCGGAGGAACACCGAUGGCGAAGGCAAUCCCCUGGGCCUGCACUGACGCUCAUGCACGAAAGCGUGGGGAGCAAACAGG